rnacentral:pre_miRNA from 2 species
UCUUAUGAAUGGGCAAAGCAAGUGGUUUCUUGAGAUGGAAUCUACUGCUGUUAAAGAUGCUGUGAA